rnacentral:rRNA from 1 species
AGAGUUUGAUCCUGGCUCAGGAUGAACGCUGGCGGCGUGCCUAACACAUGCAAGUCGAGCGAUUCUCUUCGGAGAAGAGCGGCGGACGGGUGAGUAACGCGUGGGUAACCUGCCCUGUACACACGGAUAACAUACCGAAAGGUAUGCUAAUACGAGAUAAUAUGCUUUUAUCGCAUGGUAGAAGUAUCAAAGCUUUUGCGGUACAGGAUGGACCCGCGUCUGAUUAGCUAGUUGGUAAGGUAACGGCUUACCAAGGCGACGAUCAGUAGCCGACCUGAGAGGGUGAUCGGCCACAUUGGAACUGAGACACGGUCCAAACUCCUACGGGAGGCAGCAGUGGGGAAUAUUGCACAAUGGGCGAAAGCCUGAUGCAGCAACGCCGCGUGAGCGAUGAAGGCCUUCGGGUCGUAAAGCUCUGUCCUCAAGGAAGAUAAUGACGGUACUUGAGGAGGAAGCCCCGGCUAACUACGUGCCAGCAGCCGCGGUAAUACGUAGGGGGCUAGCGUUAUCCGGAAUUACUGGGCGUAAAGGGUGCGUAGGUGGUUUCUUAAGUCAGAGGUGAAAGGCUACGGCUCAACCGUAGUAAGCCUUUGAAACUGGGAAACUUGAGUGCAGGAGAGGAGAGUGGAAUUCCUAGUGUAGCGGUGAAAUGCGUAGAUAUUAGGAGGAACACCAGUUGCGAAGGCGGCUCUCUGGACUGUAACUGACACUGAGGCACGAAAGCGUGGGGAGCAAACAAAAGUAGAUACCCUGGUAGUCCACGCCGUAAACGAUGAGUACUAGCUGUUGGAGGUUACCCCCCUUCGGUGGCGCAGCUAACGCAUUAAGUUCUCCCGCCUGGGAAGUUCGCUCGCAUAGUGUGAAACUCAAAGGAAUUGACGGGAACCCGCACAAGUAGCGGAGCAUGUGGUUUAAUUCGAAGCAACGCGAAGAACCUUACCUAAGCUUGACAUCCUUUUGACCGAUGCCUAAUCGCAUCUUUCCCUUCGGGGACAGAAGUGACAGGUGGUGCAUGGUUGUCGUCAGCUCGUGUCGUGAGAUGUUGGGUUAAGUCCCGCAACGAGCGCAACCCUUGCCUUUAGUUGCCAGCAUUAAGUUGGGCACUCUAGAGGGACUGCCAGGGAUAACCUGGAGGAAGGUGGGGAUGACGUCAAAUCAUCAUGCCCCUUAUGCUUAGGGCUACACACGUGCUACAAUGGGUGGUACAGAGGGCAGCCAAGUCGUGCGGCGGAGCUAAUCCCUUAAAGCCAUUCUCAGUUCGGAUUGUAGGCUGAAACUCGCCUACAUGAAGCUGGAGUUACUAGUAAUCGCAGAUCAGAAUGCUGCGGUGAAUGCGUUCCCGGGUCUUGCACUCACCGCCCGUCA